UGAGCUCAGUUCUGAAACUGUUGAUCGUUGGAUUUUGUUGUAGCAAGUUGUAAAAAAAUGACGUCAUUCAAAUUUAUAAUUUUGUCAACAAUUCUAAUGUGGUUUUGUUGUAUCCGAACAGCACAGGGUUCGCAAGAUGGUUCAGUGGAGGAAUCGUUAGGAGAUGGUGGAUUUCAAAACGAUGAAACACAGACGCAGCCCCGUCACCACAUCAAAGUUUAUGAUGCAAACAAUAAUGGAUGGCGCAAUGUGGAGUUUCAGCUUGCAGUUCAACAUGCUGAAGAAACGUUAAUAGAUACCACACCUGAAAGGAACUCCAACGAUAACGUUCGAAGGUUAAACGAAAAGAAGCUGAAAGUGUUCGACCCACAUACUGGUUCUUGGAUAGAAAAAAUAUUUUUUGUUUGAAAC
rnacentral:lncRNA from 1 species